rnacentral:rRNA from 1 species
UUUAUCGAAUCCAGUGGCAAACGGGUGAGUAACACGUAAACAACCUGCCUUCAGGAUGGGGACAACAGACGGAAACGACUGCUAAUACCGAAUACGUUCCACGGGCCGCAUGACCUGUGGAAGAAAGGGUAGCCUCUACCUGUAAGCUAUCGCCUGAAGAGGGGUUUGCGUCUGAUUAGGCAGUUGGUGAGGUAACGGCUCACCAAACCAACGAUCAGUAGCCGGUCUGAGAGGAUGAACGGCCACACUGGAACUGAGACACGGUCCAGACUCCUACGGGAGGCAGCAGUGGGGAAUCUUCCGCAAUGGACAAAAGUCUGACGGAGCAACGCCGCGUGAGUGAAGACGGCCUUCGGGUUGUAAAGCUCUGUGAUCCGGGACGAAAGAGCCUGAGGUUAAUAGCCUAAGGAAGUGACGGU